rnacentral:lncRNA from 1 species
CAUCAUCUCUGGCUCUUGUCUCCUUAUGAAUGGAGCUUUUCACAAGCUCCCUCAAGUCACUCGGCAUCAUUAAACCACCCCACCUCGGUGAGCCAUUGGUCGGUUCUCUUACUGAAUUAUCACCAUUACUCGUUUGAAUCAAACCAGGCUGUUCAAACUGAGAAGCCGUGGUGCUAACAUCUGCAGAUGAGAAGCUAGAGGAGCAUGGUGAAGAAGAAAAUGACAACCUCGAGGACGAUUCAGAGGAGACUCCCUUCUGCUUCUCCUUUGCAGCCUUCUUCUUCUUACUCUUCUCCUGAAAUUCCAGUAAAAUUUCACUUUUUAAAAAUCCAUAUCGUCCAUGGUAAUUAAUAUAUCACUCUAGUCUACUGGUUACUGAUUCUUACCGUUUCCUUCUUAUCUGUGGAAAUGUUGAUAUCACCGACAUUGUCACUUGUUUUGCCUGCAAAAGAAUUCCCCACCAAAAUUAACUUUUAACCACCAAUACAUAACAUACUUCUGUAAGGUAUACACCUAUAUAGAAGUCUAAAGACAAGACAUGUUCUAUAGCAUUGGUUUCUUUCAUCUUUGUGGUCCUGAACCUUGGAUUUAGGAUCUUAGUCAGGAACUAAAAUACAAAAGUAAUGUAUUCUGUUAAAGAACUUUUCCUUUGUAACGUUUAAGUUUUCCACUUUAAGGUUUUAAUGGAGAGGACAUUGCAAGCAAAGACUAAAGAGAGAGGAGAGAGAGAAAGAGAAUGUUACCUGAAGGCAGAGACUUGAGCUCAUCUCCGGUGACGGCAACACGUCUCGGUGGAUAAUGUUGGCGGUAAAACACCUGAAAGAUCCCAUUCAUACAUCCAAUCUGUUUAUUCAGAUUUGGAUUUUCAUCUGACAAGUUAUACAAAAGCUUAGCCGACAUCUUUUUCUUCUUUGUCUUCUCUACUCUCGUCUCGGAAAGUGUUUUGACUCUAAAAAAAAAGAACUUGGAAACUUUUAAGAUUCUCUCAUUAUGGAAUUCAUGAAAAUCUCAAGUUUUCUGUACUUUUCCUCUGUUUUUGUCUCUCAGAGGAAGUAGAAGACGGAGAAGAAGAAGAAGAGACAGGAGGAGGACAAAGAAGAACCCAGCAUUAAGACAAAGGUAAAGCUACUUGUGAAGUUAUGACCAGACAAGGAAUUAGGUUUCUCUGUAUCUGUUAUCUUGGAGGGUUCCUUGAAGAAGAAAGAAGAGAAGAAGAAAAAGAAAAGAAAGAUAAAAAAGAAGUUUGUUUGUGGUCUUUGAGAGAAGUGAGUCCUGUAAAAAGGCAAAGAGCUCUCUGUCUACAAUUAUAUGUAGAAGCUUUUCAAAAGCAUAUAUAAACAUCGGUUAUGUAAUAAUGCUCAAUGUACGUAGGCACACACAUACACAUGCGUGUACACAUGUAUUCGUGUGUAUCCGUAUAGAUUUAUACAUGUAAGAGAAUGUAAAUGAUUUUAUUUUAUUUUUUAAAAUAAAAAUUUAUGACAAAGC